rnacentral:rRNA from 1 species
UGAGCAAUCUGCCCUUCUCAUCGGAAUAAGCGUUGGAAACGACGCCUAAUGCCGAAUACGACCUCCUUUCGCAUGAUCGGAGGUGGAAAGCUCCGGCGGAGAAGGAUGAGCUCGCGGCCUAUCAGCUAGUUGGUGUGGGUAAUGGCCCACCAAGGCGACGACGGGUAGCCGGCCUGGAGAGGGUGACCCGGCCACACUGGGACUGAGACACGGCCCAGACUCCGUACGGGAGCAG